CCCGCUAUAUAUUUCAAGAUAUGUCAAAACGUAUCGCUAAACAUGGCAGAUUCUUACCUAACUUUUUUUUCAAGAUAUAUCUAAAUGCAUUGCAAAACAUGGCGCGUUCUUACCAACUCUUGCUUUCAUUUUAUAACCCGUUGUAUGGAAUGGAUGACCACAGCUUCUAAAUAUUCCUUAGAUUCACGAAUAAUGUUAAGGAACUCAGAUGUUCAUAGUUACAUUAAAACGAGGACAUUUUAUGGUAAAUUUAUUUGUUAUUCGUCUCGAUAAAUUUGCAAAGAAUGAUAUCAUGUAAUACUGAAUAUCUCUCUAAUUGAAAUUUGUCAAAGCUUAUUGUUUGCUUGUUUUAGUAUCCACAUAUACUUACAUGGAUGUAACUGCUGUUAUACAAAUGAAAGUGUACCAUAUUUAUUAGCACGGAAAGGCCUCGCAGUUCUUAAUAACGAGUGUAUUAAUACAACGUUGUCAGUACACUGGGAUUUGAAAAAAAAACGGUCACGUGAGUGGAUUAUAAAAUCAAAGCGCUGUAGGCGCUGAAGGCCUGGAGCUAAUUUUAGUGUGACGUAAAAUGCAUUUAGGAUGUUUUUGUCCGAAUUUCUCCCUUUGUCCGAAUUUAUACGGAUUGACCCUAGCGGUUGAGUGCAGAAGCUCAGAGACUGUAAGAAAAGACAAUAUUUGUGUAUAUACUACAGUGUACAUAGACGGUGGAGGGCAAACCGAUACUGAUUGUCGGAACGAUAACCUUUUGUUCAACUCUACAGAUCUGGUAGAGGUUCGUCUACAUAGGCGGUGAAGAUAUACAACAACAUGGCCGAAAAAAACUGUUAUUGUUGGCGUCAAAUAAAUCACUUUCAAUAGCCUAAAAUAGCUUUCUAUUACAUAAUUAAUAGAUCAGGAAAGCACUCAUACUUCCUUUGCAAUGUGUAUACAAAAGAAAAUCCACUUAAGCCCAAGUCUAACUAUUGCCAGUAGAGCCCCGGUCCAUCCCGGUUUGCUAACGCCGGUCGACCGGCGAGGACCGGGAUGAUUCGUAGAAAUUGUUUAACGCAGUCACACUAUUUCCCGGUGCCGCUCCGGUUGAAGCCGGUCAACAGCCCGGCAAAGUCCCGGUCAACCCGGACUGGCUACGGUUUAUCCCGGUGAAGCCCCGGCAGAGCCCCGGUUGUCGUCGGUAGUGCCUCGGUUGAGCCCCGGUGAAAGCCGCCAGCGUCCCGGCAGAGCCCUGGUAUACCGUAACACCGCCGGUGCCCUUUCGGUUGUUCCCGGUGCCGCGCCGGUCAUUGCCGCUCCUUCCCGGUGACUCCCGGUUCAUCCCGGAGGAAGAAGUUGAAAUCUCUCCAACAAUCGUUGAUGGUUAUCUCAACGCACGUGAUUUCAGUGUUUUUGGGGCUAAAUACGGGAAAAAUGCCUGGCAAGCGACGAUAAAGCUACAUCCAAGCUUGGUGCUCGAUAAACUCGAAGAAUUGGGUUACCGGAUGGUGUCCAGCGCAUGUAAUGACAAGAUGAUGAUGUGGACGAUGCACGCUCCUCCCGCGAUGAAAUCGAUAGAAGUCCAAAACCCAACUGAUGAGUUUCAUCAAAAGAUAAAAGACUGAUUUGGGGCUACGUGCAUUUAAUAUGUGGACUUUAAACGCUCCUCCCGCGAUGGAAUUAUAAGUCCAUCAACAUCAACAAUUUGAUUACGACUGAUUUUUGGCUACUUUCCUUUUAUCUGCAAGCUAGUAAAAUGCACAUUGCAGUUGCUAAUACAGCUUAAUUACGUUUGAUAUGAUUUAAAUACAGUACCUGUGUCAUAAAGAAAUAUGAAUAAAAUAACAAAUCGAA